rnacentral:rRNA from 1 species
AUGGCAGCCCCGCAUAUAGUCCUUCUGAUGAGCCCCGGGGCUAGGCACGUCCACACAGUGGCCGACCUCGCGAGGCGCCUCGCCACGGACCACGGCUUCACUGCCAUGAUAGUCACCUAUACCAACGACUCCUUGCCCACCCAACACUCCUCCAUUCUCACCUCCCUAGCCUCGUCCGUCACCACCUCCGCGCUCCCUGAGGUGCCCACUGACGACCUCCCGGGCGACACCCGCAUCGGGAUCCGCCUCAUCACCGCCGUCCGCUACGCCUUGCCUCACUUGCGCGACCUCCUGCUCCACCUCCGCGACUCCCCCGCGGGUCUCGCCGCUGUCGCCUUCUUGGUAGACGUGCUCUUCCCAUGGGGGCUCGAGGUCAUAGCCAAGCUCGGUAUCCCGUGCUAUGUCAUCUUCAGUACCAACCGCAUGUGUCGCUCGCUGCUCCACCUCCUCGAGCAGGACAGGACCACCACCUGCGAGUACCACGACCUCCUCCCGGGGUGCGUGCCACUGCGCGGCGCCAAUCUGGAUCCCAUCCAGGACCGCGCCAAUCCGGUGUACCCCCUCAUCGUGGAUCUGGGGUGCCAAUACCUCCUUGCCGACAGCUUCAUCGUCAACAUGUUCGACGGCAUGGAGAUGGAGACCAUACGCGCGUUCCACGAGUUAUCCGACAAAGGUGUGUAUCCUCCAGUUUACCCAGUGGGUCCCUUUUCCCAGUAGUGCUUCGACAAGUUUGCCGACCACGCUUGCUUACGCUGGCUAGAGGGCCACCCCGCCGGGUUGGUAAUGUAUGUUUGCUUCGGCAGCGGCGGCUCGCUGUCUAUGGAGCAGACCGCCGAGCUGGCAGCCGGGCUGGAGGCGAGCGGGCACAGGUUCCUGUGGGUGGUGCGUUUACCCAGCGACAAGGAUAAUAGUGCGGGGUACCUCGGCGGGUCGUCGGAGAAUGACGGCGAGGACCCUUUGAGCUACCUACCAAAAGGGUUCGUGGAGAGUACGAGCGGAACUAGCAUAGGGCUCGCCGUGCCGCUCCGGGCCCCGCAGGUGGAGAUCCUGAACCACCACGCCAUGGGAGGUCUCGUGUCACACUGCGGGUGGAACUCGACGCCGGAGAGCGUGGCGUUCGGCGUGCCGAUGGUAGCGUGGCCGCUAUUCGCGGAGCGGAGGAUGAACACGGUGAUGAUGGAGGAGAGGAGCGGGAUGGCGUUGCGGCCGAAGGCAAGGGAGCAGGACGGCCUGGUGCCAUGGGAGGAGGUGGCCAAGGUGGUGAAGGAGCUGAUGGGCGGGGAGAAGGGGGAGUGUUAG